rnacentral:rRNA from 1 species
AGAGUUUGAUCAUGGCUCAGGAUGAACGCUGGCGGUAUGCUUAACACAUGCAAGUCGAACGGGGUAGUAAUACCUAGUGGCGGACGGGUGAGUAACGCGUAAGAAUCUGGCUCCAGGUUCGGGACAACAGAUGGAAACGUCUGCUAAUACCGGAUGUGCCGAGAGGUGAAAGCUUUAGUGCCUGGAGAUGAGCUUGCGUCUGAUUAGCUAGUUGGAGUGGUAACGGCACACCAAGGCGACAAUCAGUAACUGGUCUGAGAGGAUGACCAGUCACACUGGGACUGAGACACGGCCCAGACUCCUACGGGAGGCAGCAGUGGGGAAUUUUCCGCAAUGGGCGAAAGCCUGACGGAGCAAUACCGCGUGAGGGACGAAGGUCUGUGGAUUGUAAACCUCUUUUGUCAGGGACGAUAAUGACGGUACCUACGAAU